GUGUGUAAUUAUAUAUAAACAUAUUAAGAUUUUUUUUUUUAGAUAAUGUUUUAUGGUUUUAGUUAAGUGUUUCAUCUAAUAUUUACAUUUUAUUUUCUUUAAACUUUAUUCUAACGGAAAAAAAAAAAUACAGUUGUAAAUUUAGUUCACAUUAACAAUGCUCAUUUUGUGUAAUAUUUUAGAACAAAGCACUGAAGUCACAGACCACCAGCACCCCUUAAGCAUAGUAAAAUAACACUCUCUCGUGGCAUUGCCAUCUGCUCCAGGAACUGUGAUGAGCUCGGUCUCUGUGCAUGCGUCCACUAAGGAUAUUGAUUAUUCCCUGCCAGGGCUGCAUGCAGUCAUGCUCAGAUGCCGGUUGCCCAUGGUUACGGCUGCGCUGCAGAGGGCGAGCGCCGCUGAGAUCACCGUGAAGUCCAUCUGAGCACAGCGUGUUUGUGCUGCAGAGUCCAGACCGUUUCCCAAGGUUAAUGAACCCAUUGUAAAUCAGAUCACAUCCUGUGACCGGCCUGAAAUGAUCAGAGAUUUACUCACAUACAGAGAGAGUGAGAGAGAGAGAGAGAGAGAGCUGGGGGAGGGGGUGUACAGAAAUGUGAGUUGAAUAUCAAAUCCUAGAUCACACACACAUACACCCACCAGCCUGCAAUUACAUAUUCAGGGUUCGGGGGAAACAGAUGUGAUUAUUUAAGAAACUACCUUUAAGAAAAUGCAUAUUGGUUUACAACAAGUAAUCUGAAUCAGUGGCAGUGUUCAUAAUGAAUUUUUGCCACCCUGCUGCAGUAUUUAGUAGCUAUGUAUAUUACAUAUCCCAGCUGGCAUUUCAGCAUUUAUUCAUGGAUAAAUCACUGUGGAACUGUUUCAGCUUUGCUAAUUGAUUCAAUUUUGAUCUAUUUUUUAUUGUUGGUAGAGCUGGGUUUAAAAUGCUGAUUUCUUGGUUUUAAUCGAUUCUCAUUUUGAUAAACCAAUUUUGAUUCUUAAAUCCGAAAAAUCAAUCCUUUAGUUCAUGCUGUUUUUAGUUCACUUAACUUUAUUUGCAGCAUGCAUCCCAUUCAAUUAAUCGCAGUAUGCUUUGUACUUUGCUAAUUUUGAUGUAAAACAGAAUCUCUGCUUUCAAAUUCUAUUUUAUUACAAAGUUCAAAUGUUUUAAUGCAUUUUAAACUAAGCCGGCUGCUAGCCGCAUUAUCGAAUUGCAUAUAGACAUUGGUAUCAAAUCACAAGCUUAUGAAUCAAAAUAACCAUAAUCAGCCCAAGCUGUUUCUAUAUUUUUCAUAGUAAUCUUCUUAAAAUGUCAAUGUUAAUUCUUAAGUCUUCUGUUAACUUUCAUACAAGCAUUUGGCAUUAAACUACAUUCAGGAUCAAUCAGGUGCCUACUGGGAUAAUAUGCAAAUCUUCUGCAUGCAGAGAGAUGACUGGCAACGUUUGCAAAAAUGUUGUAGGCCUACUGUUUUACCAUUUCCCACAAUGCAAUGCAUGUAAUUUAUUAAAUGGUUCCUAAAUGAUCGCUAUAGAUUUGGGCACAUCUUGUGUAGGCCUACUUCAAGUCCUGUCCAUCCAGUGUUUCCUGGAAUGGAAUACUGCACAUUAUGAAUACUAUACAUUUAGUAGUAGGCCUAUGCAAUGUUGUCACAUGACCUCCAUUCAACUCUGAUGUACAUUUUUAUUUUUAUUUUUUGUCAAAUCUGGAAGUCCAAUCAAAUGAGUCAAGAAAGAUUUCCGCCAGAGCAGAGUACAUUAUGGGAUAUAUGCUAUUUAUUUCAAGUUUGCUAAUGUGUUACCAGUUAUAUUGGUCUUAUAUUCAAUGGACGGCAUUCUUGUGCACUCGUUGUUGGCUGACUGAAGUGGCUCACACUCUUCAAGCGUGUCCACAAUGGCUCUGAAAUAUAAAUAACAUUAUAUCUUACAUUUUAAGAUUUAUCGUUUGUUUACAGUAUUUUUGAGGUUAAUACAAGUUCAGCUCUUGCAAACCCCAUAUGCAUUUUAUAACUGCAUGGAAGGAGUGUUGUUUUGAAACCGGAAUGUUUCUCGAAAAUUGCUUCCUGCAGUUCCUGUGACGCAUGAACAUGACGCAAAAUGCAGAACAUAUGUUUAAUGUGUGAUUUGUCAGAGUGGUUUGGGCGAAGGACAUUCUCUGGGUCUAAACUUAAACGUUUUAUUUAGUUAGACUGUGUGCCGCACGCGCGUUUAUGAGCACUAGGUGGCAGUCUCAGAUUCACUUUUACUAUUAAAAUCACACCCAUGAAGGGCACUGAUGUGAUUUAUUAUAUCCGAUUCUUGUAACUGCAUUCAUAAAAAGUCAAACGCUGACGAAGCAUGACUUGAAAGACAAUACAUUGGCGAUUUUUCUCUGAAAGCUGACUGUAAGAAAACAGAUGAAACCGGCUUGUUUGUUGAUGUCAAGCACAGUUUCAUCAGAGCGGUUUCUUUUCGUCCUCAGAGGCCGUUCAUCACCAUCAGGAGCAGAAUAAAUGGCUCUGUAAUUACAAUAUAUCACUGCAGGCACUGGGACGGACAUGCUCUCCAGCGCAGGUUCCCAUGGAUACUCUGUCUGUUCUGGAACCUUUCUAAUGCGAGUCAUUGACUUCCAUUAGACAGCCGAGCGUCAGCCAGCGAGAGCAUGCUUCAGCAGAGCUGCUGCUGCACCCAGCGUACCUCUUUGCAUCCUCCUUACUUACAGAAAUGGAAAUCCAAAUAUACAUCACUAGCUUUAAAUUAGUGGCAAAAAUGUAGCUUAUAGUGAUCAACACCCUGCAGUGAGCAGCUAAUUGAAUGUCAUUUUUAAAAGGAAGUAGAUCUUUGAAUGCUUGAUGAGAAGAAGAUCAAAGAGUUCAAUGGUUGUAUAUCAUGAUUAACAGUUAGCACAAGCCAUCUUAUUUUCUAAAACACUGUAUCUGCAUUGCUGGCAUUAGUGUUAGUUUAUGUGGGCAUGUUCAGAAUAACAAUUAACUGUACUGCAAGUACAAAUUCUGCAGUAUGUAUACUGUGGGCAGAUUUAGCAUUUUAUGCAUAUAAUACUCAAUGGAUUGCUACAGUGUUUUCAAAUGUUAUUUAUUCCUGAUAGCAUAUUGCAUGUUUUUUUUUUGUUUUUUUUUUGUAGCAGGCCUGAUUUGCAAUAAAUAAUGCGUCCCAAAA